CUCCUUUACCGAGCAGUGCAGAAAAAUUCUAGGUCUCUUGUAGCGCUACUGUUUAGAUUCGCCCCUGAGAGUAUCAGAUGAACUAAAAUCAAAAAAUGAAUCCAUGGUUGAAUAUGAUAGAAUUUUUAAUUGAAAUUUGAUGAUGUAGGGCUGAAAAACGUUGCUGCUGGUGGGGAUGCAUCUAACAAUAUAUUGGAUACACUAACAGAUGAUCCUAAAACGGUAAUAUAGUUUUUCUUUCCAUCACUUUCAAUGUUUGUAGGGAACCAUUGAAAUUUGUUCUUUCACACAUGCGUUUUCUUAGAAACCCUUCAUUAUCUUACUAGGCUUAUGUUUGCUUACCCUUCAAAUUUGGGAAUUGUGUAAAUUUUGGGAAUGGAUUUGUGGAGGUGAAAUGUAAUUGUUAACUAAAAAGUAAUGAAAUGCUUUGUUAGAGAUAAAAGCUUUGGAUACAUCAUUUUUCUCUAUCCUUUGCAUCCCUCUAAAUUUAUCUUAGCUUAAAAGGAAAAAUGUGUUCAAAACAAGUUUUAGCUGCCACUCAGAUACUGGGAAAUGCAAGUAAGAAGUAAUUACAAGAAACAAAAGAUGCUAUGAGGCAAUUUAUAUGAGUGUUUUAGGUGCAUUUUUUGGAAGCUAAAUUGUCAUAAAAAAAACUCAAUGAUCAAAGUUUUAAAGGACUAAUGAUGAUUCUAAAUAUAUAUGUAGGAUGCUAAAAAAUGAAAAUGCCGAGCACAUUCUUAUCUUGUUUGUUUAUCAUUUUUAUUGAAUUGAUAAUAUGGACUUUGUUCAGGUACUUGACAGAUUAUUUUAGAGCUGGUCGUCUUUCAUAUGGAGCCAUUGAAGAGCACGUCUGCAGAACGAAGACUUGUCUUUGAUCUUUCUCGAGUUGAAAUCCGCCUAGCCAAAGGUGGUACUGAGAUGGUGAAAGGUGAGCCUCCUACUAGAAAGUUCGACAAGCUUUUUGACUCUAACUAAAGAACCAAUCCAACACACACCGAUAUCCCAAACUAAGGAGCGAUCGAGGGAGAGAAAGAAAGAAAAUGCACACACUCCUUAUUCGCCCUUCACUAAACUCGACCACCAAAUCGUCUAAAUGGAAUGCAUUUAUUAGGAAAGUGUGUUCAGUCAAAAAAAGAGCUCAGCAAAGUCCCCAUGCUAUAUGCGGCGACAAUGCAAUCUAAACCUACUUAUCAUCUUAAGCCACGUCGAGAGAAGAAACCUAAAGCAGAACAAAAUGAUUGAGAGGCUUACGUAGACCUUUGCAUAACUCGAUGCAUAUCAUGAAUAGAUUUAUGUUAACAAAAAUUGUUUAGAUUUCAUCAUUCCAUCUUUGUCCUUUACUUUGGAGAAUGCAAAAGAAAAACUACAAAAAAAUAACUUCACUUUCACCUUUUCAAUCUCCCCAGACAAUACUUGAAGAACUAGGCACAUGAUAUGCUAAUAGAUCUCUCUUAUUUUUUGUAAGUUGUCCAUAAAUAUUCCAGUAGGUCUUGCCAUAUGCAUUUUUGAGAAACUAGAUGAACCUAAAAUUCCCACCACAUCAUGCAUUUUGUAGCAUUACCCAUCAGCUUGCUUUUGUAGUGUUAGAGUUACUAUUCUAUAUGCUUAUAGAGCCACACUGUUUCUUUAGCAACA
rnacentral:lncRNA from 1 species